AUUAAACUCGCAAAAGGAUAUUUGCGUUACGGUGAUUUUGUUACUAAUAUAAACUGUUAAAUAUUAUCCUUAUGUUACUGUUAUAAUUUUCCUGUGUCUGUGUCAUUUGAAUGGUAUUGCAUAAGCGCCAUCUAUUGAACAAUAGGCAAAACGUAGAGCGCGCCGUCCUCUCCACCUCUCCCCGCGAUAAGGGCACGAGUUCGUUGCCCCGAUAGAGACUGACCUCAAAAACGAGGACACUGCAAAAUUAGGACGAUGACAACGUAAUGACUUGAGCGCCAAUUGACUUCAAACAAGUUUCAACGUUGAUGUGGUAAGAUACACAUCAUAACAACAUCGCCUUGGUUUGAU